AUUGAACGCUGGCGGCAGGCUUAACACAUGCAAGUCGAACGAGUGGCGGACGGGUGAGUAAUGCUUGGGAAUCUAGCUGAUGGAGGGGGAUAACUACGGGAAACUGUAGCUAAUACCGCGUACCAUAGGAUGAACCCAAGUGGGAUUAGGUAGUUGGUGGGGUAAAGGCUCACCAAGCCGAAGAUCUCUAGCUGGUCUGAGAGGAUGACCAGCCCAAUCGGGACGGGGACACGGCCCAAACUCCUACGGUGGGCAGCAGGGGGGAAGAUUGCGCAAUGGGGGCAACCUGACGCAGCCAUGCCGCGUGAAUGAAGAAGGCCUUCGGGGUGGAAAGUUCUUUCGGUAGCGAGGCGUUAACUACAGAAGAAGCACCUGCUAACUCCGUGCCAGCAGCCGCGGUAAUAC
rnacentral:rRNA from 1 species